rnacentral:SRP_RNA from 1 species
GCCGGACAUGGUGGCGUAUGCCUGUAAUCCCAGCUACUUGGGAGGCUGAGGCAGGAGACUUGCUUGAACCCAGGAGGCAGAGGUUGCAGUGAGCUGAGAUCACGCCACUGCACUCCAGCCUGGGCAACAGAGCUAGACUCUGUCUCAA